rnacentral:rRNA from 1 species
UAGCUAGUUGGUGAGGUAAAGGCUUACCAGGGCGACGAUCUGUAGCGGGUCUGAGAGGAUGAUCCGCCACACUGGAACUGAGACACGGUCCAGACUCCUACGGGAGGCGGCAGUGGGGAAUUUUGGACAAUGGGGGCAACCCUGAUCCAGCCAUGCCGCGUGAGUGAAGAAGGCCUUCGGGUUGUGAAGCUCUUUCGGCCGGGAAGAAAUCGCAUGGGCCAAUACCCUGUGUGGAUGACGGUACCGGAAUAAGAAGCACCGGCUAACUACGUGCCAGCAGCCGCGGUAAUACGUAGGGUGCGAGCGUUAAUCGGAAUUACUGGGCGUAAAGCGUGCGCAGGCGGUUUUGUAAGACAGGCGUGAAAUCCCCGGGCUUAACCUGGGAACUGCGUUUGUGACUGCAAGGCUAGAGUACGGCAGAGGGGGGUGGAAUUCCACGUGUAGCAGUGAAAUGCGUAGAGAUGUGGAGGAACACCAAUGGCGAAGGCAGCCCCCUGGGUCGAUACUGACGCUCAUGCACGAAAGCGUGGGUAGCAAACAGGAUUAGAUACCCUGGUAGUCCACGCCCUAAACUAUGUCAACUAGGUGUUGGGUGGGUAAAACCAUUUAGUACCGUAGCUAACGCGUGAAGUUGACCGCCUGGGGAGUACGGCCGCAAGGUUAAAACUCAAAGGAAUUGACGGGGACCCGCACAAGCGGUGGAUGAUGUGGAUUAAUUCGAUGCAACGCGAAAAACCUUACCUACCCUUGACAUGCCAGGAACUUGCCAGAGAUGGCUUGGUGCCCGAAAGGGAGCCUGGACACAGGUGCUGCGUGGCUGUCGUCAGCUCGUGUCGUGAGAUGUUGGGUUAAGUCCCGCAACGAGCGCAACCCUUGUCGUUAAUUGCCAUCAUUUGGUUGGGCACUUUAACGAGACUGCCGGUGACAAACCGGAGGAAGGUGGGGAUGACGUCAAGUCCUCAUGGCCCUUAUGGGUAGGGCUUCACACGUCAUACAAUGGUCGGUACAAAGGGUUGCCAAGCCGCGAGGCGGAGCCAAUCCCAGAAAGCCGAUCGUAGUCCGGAUUGCAGGCUGCAACUCGCCUGCAUGAAGUCGGAAUCGCUAGUAAUCGUGGAUCAGCAUGUCACGGUGAAUACGUUCCCGGGUCUUGUACACACCGCCCGUCACACCAUGGGAGCGGGUUCCGCCAGAAGUGGGUAGCCUAACCGCAAGGAGGGCGCUUACCACGGCGGGGUUCGUGACCGGGGUGAAGUCGUAACAAGGUAGCCGUAGGGGAACCUGCGGCUG